UACGUAGGGGGCAAGCGUUGUCCGGAUUUAUUGGGCGUAAAGCGCACGUAGGCGGUCCGACAAGUCGGGAGUGAAAUCCCUCGGCUUAACCGAGGAAGUGCUUUCGAAACUAUCGGACUUGAAUACCGGAGAGGGUCGCGGAAUUCCCGGUGUAGAGGUGAAAUUCGUAGAUAUCGGGAGGAACACCAGUGGCGAAGGCGGCGACCUGGACGGAUAUUGACGCUGAGGUGCGAAAGCGUGGGAGCAACAGG
rnacentral:rRNA from 1 species